GUCUACCCCACUACCCUUCGCAAUAAAUUCCUCUGACCAUGGGCGGCCCACUACCAGACGGUUACAAAUGUCGCCAUCAAUCCGUUGCCCCCUCCGCCUAUAAAAGGGGGAUCCAGAUACGUUAUUCUCUAAGCUCAUUUCUUAUCUCAAAACUCUACUAAAUUCUCCGUUCGAGCACUCUAUUCUUGUUGAGGCAGAGAACUGACUUGAGCGUCGGAGG
rnacentral:lncRNA from 1 species